UUUCCCUCAGGAUGGCUGGCACACUCCCAAAACCCACCCCAUGUGGUUUCAUCUGGUAAAGCAAAUGGUUGGAGGUUUUAGGAUCCAAAGGAGCUCCACGUAUUCUCACACUUUAAAUGGGAAAGAAACCCAGCUUGCUGGCACAUGGAGCCAGGUGUGGAACGCAAAUGCCUAGUGGGCCACUUCUGGUAAGCAGACCUUGCGCUGCAGGAUGAAG
rnacentral:ncRNA from 1 species